GAUGAACGCUGGCGGCGUGCUUAACACAUGCAAGUCGAACGGAAAGGCUCCUGCUUGCAGGGGUACUCGAGUGGCGAACGGGUGAGUAACACGUGGGUGAUCUGCCCUGCACUUCGGGAUAAGCCUGGGAAACUGGGUCUAAUACCGGAUAGGACCACAUUUUGGAUGGUGUGGUGGAAAGUUUUUCGGUGUGGGAUGAGCUCGCGGCCUAUCAGCUUGUUGGUGGGGUAAUGGCCUACCAAGGCGUCGACGGGUAGCCGGCCUGAGAGGGUGUACGGCCACAUUGGGACUGAGAUACGGCCCAGACUCCUGCGGGAGGCAGCAGUGGGGAAUAUUGCACAAUGGGCGCAAGCCUGAUGCAGCGACGCCGCGUGGGGGAUGACGGCCUUCGGGUUGUAAACUCCUUUCGCUAGGGACGAAGCGCAAGUGACGGUACCUGGAGAAGAAGCACCGGCUAACUACGUG
rnacentral:rRNA from 1 species